rnacentral:rRNA from 1 species
GACAGAGGGGGCAAGCGUUGCUCGGAAUUAUUGGGCGUAAAGAGCUCGUAGGCGGUCUGUCGCGUCGGUCGUGAAAACCUGCAGCUUAACUGUGGGCGUGCGGUCGAUACGGGCAUGACUGGAGUUCGGCAGGGGAGACUGGAAUUCCUGGUGUAGCGGUGAAAUGCGCAGAUAUCAGGAGGAACACCGGUGGCGAAGGCGGGUCUCUGGGCCGAUACUGACGCUGAGGAGCGAAAGCGUGGGGAGCGAACAGG